UGGUAGAUGCACCCUGAUAACUAACUCCCCCUGUUGGCUAACACCCGCUGGGGGUUUUUUCG
rfam:Cylindrospermum stagnale PCC 7417, complete genome.